UAUAUACUCCCUCUGUCUGGAAAUACUUGUCCCCGAAAUGGUCGUAUCUAGACUUAUUUUAGUUAUAGAUACAUCCAUUUUAUCCAUUUCUAGGACAAGUAUUUCCGGACGAAGGGAGUACUAG
rfam:Triticum aestivum genome assembly, contig: Triticum_aestivum_CS42_TGACv1_scaffold_030476_1BL